UUUUUGUUGUUUACUUCUGUCUCUCUAGUGCCUAAAAAAAGGUUCCUAGCACACAGUAGGUGCUUGAUAUUUGUAUAGUUACAAAUGAAUGGGUGGUAAGAAGAUUGCAAGAAAGAAGAAGAAAAAGAUGAUUCAGAAGUUAGAAACAUCAGUGAGUUAGGACUUACCGUAAUUUUAUGCCUAGGAUACAAAUAGGAAUAAGAUACCUGCCUGUCCCUCAAGAUUCCUGAAGAGAGGCACUAAAGGAAACAUUUCCUACAGAAUAAGUCUUUUCAAAAAGAAGAGGGAGGCAAGGAGACAGAAGCGAAGAAGGGAGGAAGACCCAGAAGAAAAAGUCUGAUGGAGGAUCGCAGAAGGGAGCAGGAGAGAGAGAGAAAGACAGGACUGAGAGAAUGGAGAAGCAGAUUAGAAUGGGGGGGAUCCCAGUUGUGAGGGGAAUG